rnacentral:rRNA from 1 species
ACAUGCAAGUCGAGCGGUAAGGCCCCUUCGGGGGUACACGAGCGGCGGACGGCUGAGUAACACGUAGGAACACGUACCACAAACUGAGGGAUAAGCACCAGAAAUGGUGUCUAAUACCGCAUGUGCUCUUCGGAGUAAAGCUUCGGCGGUUUGGGAACGGCCUGCGCAUGAUUAGCUUGUUGGUGAGGUAAUGGCUCACCAAGGCAAUGAUCAUUAGCUGGUCUGAGAGGAUGAUCAGCCAGACUGGGACUGAGAACGGCCCAGACUCCUACGGGAGGCAGCAGUGGGGAAUUUUCCACAAUGGGCGAAAGCCUGAUGGAGCAACGCCGCGUGCAGGAUGAAGGCUUUCGGGUCGUAAACUGCUUUUAUCUGUGACGAAUAUGACGGUAGCAGAUGAAUAAGGAUCGGCUAACUCCGUGCCAGCAGCCGCGGUCAUACGGAGGAUCCAAGCGUUAUCCGGAAUUACUGGGCGUAAAGAGUUGCGUAGGUGGCAUAGUAAGUCAGUAGUGAAAGCGUGCGGCUCAACCGCAUAAACAUUACUGAAACUGCUAAGCUAGAGGAUGAGAGAGGUUAUUGGAAUUCCUAGUGUAGGAGUGAAAUCCGUAGAUAUUAGGAGGAACACCGAUGGCGUAGGCAGAUAACUGGCUCAUUCCUGACACUAAGGCACGAAAGCGUGGGUAGCAACGGGAUUAGAUACCCCGGUAGUCCACGCUGUACACGAUGGAUGCC